rnacentral:rRNA from 1 species
GAUGAACGCUGGCGGCGUGCCUAAUACAUGCAAGUCGAGCGAACGGACGAGAAGCUUGCUUCUCUGAUGUUAGCGGCGGACGGGUGAGUAACACGUGGAUAACCUACCUAUAAGACUGGGAUAACUUCGGGAAACCGGAGCUAAUACCGGAUGAUAUUUUGAACCGCAUGGUUCAAAAGUGAAAGACGGUCUUGCUAUCACUUAUAGAUGGAUCCGCGCUGCAUUAGCUAGUUGGUAAGGUAACGGCUUACCAAGGCAACGAUGCAUAGCCGACCUGAGAGGGUGAUCGGCCACACUGGAACUGAGACACGGUCCAGACUCCUACGGGAGGCAGCAGUAGGGAAUCUUCCGCAAUGGGCGAAAGCCUGACGGAGCAACGCCGCGUGAGUGAUGAAGGUCUUCGGAUCGUAAAACUCUGUUAUUAGGGAAGAACAUAUGUGUAAGUAACUGUGCACAUCUUGACGGUACCUAAUCAGAAAGCCACGGCUAACUACG